AUUAAUUUAGUGUAUAUAUUGAGAGUUAUAUGUAAUAUUAUUGGGCAAAAAAGUAAUUGGAACAUCGUAGAGCUACUAUACUAUCGGAAGUAUAGAGAAUUUGAUGAUUUCAGUUUUUUGAUCCUUGAUUAAUAAUUGUAUGGUUGGAAUGAAUGUGAUCCCCAUAGGGUUGAGUGAUCUCCAUAGAAUAAUAAUAUUAAUUCAAUUGUUAUAAAUGACCAAAGAAGUUAAUCUAAGGGCCAAAAAGUCGAAAGUACUAGAUUCUCUAUAUUUUCGAUAGCAUAGUAGCUCUACUAUAUAUGUACCUCGCGUGUGUAAUGUACAUAACACAAUUAUAUCUUAUUGGAAAAAAAGAAAGGGGCUUUAAUUAGAAACCUAUCACUACCAUUGGAUUGUAUAUUUGUAUUGACAUGAAAAAUAAAAUAAUAAAUCAUCCAAUAAUAUUUUGUUCAUUAUUAGAAUCAAAAUUAAAAUGAAUAUCUAGAAUUUUAAGAAAGAAAUUUGGUUAAAAGGGAGAGAAUGAUAAAGCCAAAUAAAAAGGAAGGGAAAGUGUUUGUGAGAAACAGUUUCGAACGGUUUGAUUUGAAAUGAAUCAAUUCGAAAUUUAAAGUCGGAUGAGGUCGUAUACGGAACAGAUCAUUUCUAUUCCAUAGCAGAAUGAGUAUCGAAAUUCGAUUCUUAUAAAAUAAAUAAUAACUAUUGACAUUAAUAAAUUUUAUUUUGAUUUUCAUAAUCUAAAGUAGGAGAAC
rnacentral:lncRNA from 1 species